UUUUUUCUGGUAAGGUAUAGCGUAUCUUGAAAGAAAAGAAAAGCAAGAACCCUGAUUGAAAAGCAAGAACCCUGAUUUUCUUCUCCCCACCUGCGAAUCUCAACUUAGCAUUUCUUCUGAUUUCCUCUUAUAUGGAAGCCCUUGAAUCCUUGGAAGAAAAGAAAAGCAAGAACCCCGAGUUUCUUCUCCCACACGAGUCCCUAUCCCCUCCUUACAGGCGGUGAUAGAAAGCUUGUUUUUUGAAGCAAUUGAAAACCCCAUUUGGUCGAGAUUCCUGAGGUGCAGAACGUUAAAACUUAGGGCAUGCCCUAACCCCCUUUGUUAAUGGUCAGGUUGGCUCUGUAGUCGUUCGUCCACCCAUUUGGUAAAGGCGUUCAUCCAUGGAAGCUCCGGCAGCUAUUCACCCUCACCUUCGUAAACACAGGCUGGACAAACAUGAUGAAGAGUGAUGUAAUGAUGAUAGGCAGAAUUGAUUUCAUCGUUGUUUCAACUAUCCAACAGUAAUGAGAUGUCAUGGUAGACAUCAUCUUUCUUGACUCCCCAGUUGGUGUUGGCUUUUCCUACUUAAACUACUCCGAGGAUGUUCUGAACAAUGCAGAUAAAUGAACUGGUAUAACUUGAGAAUCUUUGAUGUGAAUUAGGGAAAAAACAAUUAAUCUUGGAGUAUAUAUGGUAUGGAGCUUCUUCUUGGAGAAUUAAAGACUGGUCAUUGUACAUUGGAACUGAAUAAACAAUAAACUACUAUAUUGUAUUUGUAAUGCAUGUGGGAAAUGCUUUGACCAAUGAUUUCACUGACCAUAUGGAAGUUUUCCAGUUUAUGUGGUCUAGGGGUUUGAUUUAUUGGUAACCUACAAGCUUAUGAACCUCUUUUGUUACUUCGAAUAGUUUAUUCACACCUCAAGCCCGUGUACUAAGGAUUUUGAUAUUAAAAGUGAAGAACUUGGAAACAUCUUACUGAUCAUGCAAGGAGUGCCAUGGGUUGAGCUUCUACAAAUAUCUUAAUAACAUCACAUGGUUUUUACUUUUGAUUAACUUGACUGUAGUGGUGAAAUUCUACUAUAAUAACAUCACUUGAUUUGUGUCUUCUUGCAGUUUUCUGAAAUUCUACUCACUCCAAGAUGAAGUAAAAUUAUGUAGAAUAAGUUAAAAUGGCAUUCUU